GGGAAUGUGGCUUAGUGGUAGAGCAUGUGCCUAGCAUGCAUGAAGCCCUGGUUCAAUUCCUCAGUACCA
rnacentral:tRNA from 1 species